rnacentral:rRNA from 1 species
UACGUAGGGUGCAAGCGUUAAUCGGAAUUACUGGGCGUAAAGCGUGCGCAGGCGGUUAUGUAAGACAGAUGUGAAAUGCCCGGGCUUAACCUGGGAACUGCAUUUGUGACUGCAUGGCUAGAGUUUGGCAGAGGGGGGGUAGAAUUCCACGUGUAGCAGUGAAAUGCGUAGAUAUGUGGAGGAACACCGAUGGCGAAGGCAGCCCCCUGGGUCAAGACUGACGCUCAUGCA